rnacentral:rRNA from 1 species
UAGGGAAUCUUCGGCAAUGGGGGCAACCCUGACCGAGCAACGCCGCGUGAGUGAAGAAGGUUUUCGGAUCGUAAAGCUCUGUUGUAAGAGAAGAACGUGUGUGAGAGUGGAAAGUUCACACAGUGACGGUAACUUACCAGAAAGGGACGGCUAACUACGUGCCAGCAGCCGCGGUAAUACGUAGGUCCCGAGCGUUGUCCGGAUUUAUUGGGCGUAAAGCGAGCGCAGGCGGGUUAAUAAGUCUGAAGUUAAAGGCAGUGGCUUAACCAUUGGUCGCUUUGGAAACUGUUAAACUUGAGUGCAGAAGGGGAGAGUGGAAUUCCAUGGGUAGCGGUGAAAUGCGUAGAUAUAUGGAGGAACACCGGUGGCGAAAGCGGCUCUCUGGUCUGUAACUGACGCUGAGGCUCGAAAGCGUGGGGAGCAAACAGG